CAACAACUCCUUUCAACAAUAACAGCUUCAACAGCACAAGACGGUUGCGCCAGGCUUUCACGAUGCGUUCAAGUAGGAAAUCUCCUGCCUCAUCUCUUGGGCAGCCCGUCUUCGCACCAAUGAAUGCGGUGAGGCAGUGCAGGCAAUCCGUGCCGCUGAUUUGCUACCUCCCAAGGCCGCUGAAACUCUGAUCCUGGCGGCGACAAAUGCUGCUGCGCCUUCCUCCACUUUGCCAAACCUUGGCGGAUUUUGCCAGUUUCGAAGGAGAAAAAAAUGAAAAAAUGGAAAAAUGAAAAAAAAGGAAACAAUCACGGGCCAAGAGAAGGUUUCGCUUGCGGAUGGCAAAGAUCCCUUUCUAUGGGACUGGAGAGAGAAUUUGCAUUACGGCGUACUCCCAUGUUUUGAUCGAAUUCCCUAUGUUGUUUUUCACCUAGCUAGG
rnacentral:sRNA from 2 species